GGCUUUCCGCAGUGGCAUCGUAGCCAAUGAGGUUUAUCCGAGGCGCGAUUGUUGCUAAUUGAAAAUACACGUUCAGAUACAGUAGUCUAGUCCUAUGCGGGCCCUAAAUGGGAAAGUUGCUUUCUUGUGGACAAA
ensembl:snRNA U4 U4 spliceosomal RNA